rnacentral:rRNA from 1 species
AACGAACGCUGGCGGCAUGCCUAACACAUGCAAGUCGAACGAACCCACCGGGAGUAGUGGCGCCCGGGUUUGUCACGCGAGGGAACAUGACCACAGGGUCAGACUAACUAUCCGACAGGGGUGACAACACGGGACAAUGUCUUAGGACCGAAGAUUUAUUGAAUCUGGUUGUGCAAGCGUUGGAUUCGAUAGUUAUGAGGGUAAAAGCCUAACCAGGGGACGAUUCAUAACUGGUCUGAGAGAAUGCUCAGCCACACUGAGACUGAGACACGGCCCAGACUCCUACGGGAGGCAGCAGUGGGGAAUAGAGGACAAUGGGGGAAAGCCUGAUCCAGCAAGGCCGCGUGAGUGAUGAAGUCCGUAGAGUUGUUAAGCGCUUGUACCCGGGAUGAUAAUGACAGUACCGGGAGAAUAAGCUCCGGCUAACUACGUG